UGCUGCUAUGAAAACACAUGACCCACAGUCUUGUUGAUGAAAGGCACUAUCAGGCUCCACCUUAUCAAGUCAACGAUUAGCUUGACCAAGAAUUUGAAGCAAACACUGAGUUCAGAAGAUCAUGCUACUAUAGCUAGGAACCAGUAAUGGCUGAACUGAGAGCACAAUUUUUCUGAUCUGUUAUAGAUACAUUGAAAAAGCCCUCAGCGGAGGUCACCACAGGGGAUCUGUCAUACAGAAGACAUCCUUCACCAGUAACUAAGACAUGGUGCAGGCUCCUGUCCAAGGUCACGUCUGCCUGAUGUGCACUCUUCUUAUGGGCUAGUCAAAUUUUCCCACAGGACCUUCCUUCCUGCACACUAGCCAUCAUUUUCAGGUAGCAGCUUUUCCCCAGUUCCUUGGAAUUCACAUUCAGUUUGGCUCUUCAACCCUCCCAGAAUUGGAAUAUGGUCACCGAAACCCUCUGUUUUCUUCCAGUUUAUUCUUAAAGAGCAGUGAUUUGCAGCAUAUCCUUUGUUCUUCCAGGAGUCAAUAUUUAUUUUUAAGAUCAUUUGAAUGGCUUACUACCCCAUCAGUAACUGUUGAUGCUAGAAUGAGAUAUGACACUUUUUGUUAGUGACAUAAUAAAUACCCGAGAUAAUCAGCCAAUAAGUAGAAAAGAUUAAUUGUGGCUUACAGUUUGAGAGACCCAAUUUGACAGGGCAGAUGUUUUUAGGCAUCUCUAGUGAAGGGACAGGAGCACAUGGAAGAACAAAUCCAGACAACUCUUGGCUUAGCGACAAGGGUCAGAAAGAGGAAGGAGGUACGAUAAUCCAUUAUUCCCUGAAUGCACACCCAGAGUGACUUAAAGACUUCUCAUGAGGCCCUCCCUAAUAAGGUUCUUUUCAUUAUAUCCUACUAGUCUGAGGACCAAACCUUUAAUACAUAGACUUUUGGAGGAGGGCAUUCCAGGUCUAAAUUAUAGUAUACAUUAAUUGAAAGGACAUAAAUUAAGAAAUUGUAAUGAGAAUAUAUGCAAGGAACUUGGGAGUAAACAAACCUUCUUUAGAAGAUAAAGAAAGAUUUCUUAGGUGUGGUUGCUAUUCUUGGUUGUCAGUUUGACUACAUCUGGAGUUAACUAAAACCUAUGUGGCUGGAUAUACCUGUGAGGGAUUUUUCUUAAUAAUUUGUGGGAAGACCCACUUUUAAUCUGGAUAUUUUGAGGUGGAAGAUCCACCUUCAAUCUGCAUUAUACCUUCUGGUGUCAGCCAAUAUCAAGAACAUGGAUGAAGAAGGUUUUAGGUCUUUUCUCACCUUCACUGGAAAGUUCAUUUCUUCACUGCCAUUAGAGUCUACUUCUUUGGUAUGGCUGUAUACUGUACACCAGCCAUAUACUGAGAUGCCCAGCUUCAAGGAUUAAACACCUACUGGAUUCUUGGAUUUUCCAUUGCUAGACAGCCAUUGUUGGACUAGCUGAACAACAGCCUGUAAACAAUUCUAAUAAAUCCCAUAUGUACACACA